rnacentral:rRNA from 1 species
GUCCACGCCGUAAACGAUGUCGAUUUGGAGUCUGUGCCAUUAUGAGCGUGGGUUCCGAAGCUAACGCGAUAAAUCGACCGCCUGGGAGUACGGCCGCAAGGUUAAACUCAAAUGAAUUGACGGGGCCCGCACAAGCGGUGGAGCAUGUGGUUUAAUUCGAUGCAACGCGAAGAACCUUACCUGGCCUUGACAUGCUGAGAAGGUCCCAGAGAUGGGACUGUGCCUUCGGGAACUCAGACACAGGUGCUGCAUGGCUGUCGU